GCAAGUCGAACGAUCACUUCGGUGGUAGUGGCGCACGGGUGCGUAACGCGUGGGAAUCUGCCCUUGGGUUCGGAAUAACAUCGGGAAACUGAUGCUAAUACCGGAUGAUGACGUAAGUCCAAAGAUUUAUCACCCAGGGAUGAGCCCGCGUAGGAUUAGCUAGUUGGUGGGGUAAAGGCCUACCAAGGCGACGAUCCUUAGCUGGUCUGAGAGGAUGAUCAGCCACACUGGGACUGAGACACGGCCCAGACUCCUACGGGAGGCAGCAGUAGGGAAUAUUGGACAAUGGGGGCAACCCUGAUCCAGCAAUGCCGCGUGAGUGAUGAAGGCCUUAGGGUUGUAAAGCUCUUUUACCAGAGAUGAUAAUGACAGUAUCUGGGGAAUAAGCCCCGGCUAACUCCGUGCCAGCAGCCGCGGUAAUACGGAGGGGGCUAGCGUUGUUCGGAAUUACUGGGCGUAAAGCGCACGUAGGCGGCGAUUUAAGUCAGAGGUGAAAGCCCGGGGCUCAACCCCGGAACUGCCUUUGAGACUGGAUUGCUUGAAUCCGGGAGAGGUGAGUGGAAUUCCGAGUGUAGAGGUGAAAUUCGUAGAUAUUCGGAAGAACACCAGUGGCGAAGGCGGCUCACUGGA
rnacentral:rRNA from 1 species